AAUGAACGCUGGCGGCGUGCUUAACACAUGCAAGUCGAACGAGAAAGGGAUUGCUUGCAAUCCUGAGUAGAGUGGCGCACGGGUGAGUAACACGUAGAUAAUCUACCUCCGAGCCUGGGAUAACUAUUCGAAAGGAUAGCUAAUACCGGAUGAAGUGGUUUGACACAAGUUGAAUCAUGAAAGACUGCCUCUUCCUGAAAGCAGUUGUUUGGAGAUGAGUUUGCGUACCAUUAGCUAGUUGGUGGGGUAACGGCCUACCAAGGCAGCGAUGGUUAGCUGGUCUGAGAGGAUGAUCAGUCACACUGGAACUGAAACACGGUCCAGACUCCUACGGGUGCUG
rnacentral:rRNA from 1 species